rnacentral:lncRNA from 1 species
GUGUGGGUUCUUUGUGCAUGGAGAGUUUACACGAGAAACUUUUUCUCGUGUAGAGCAAGUGGCGCACAAGUGGAUAAGGUGGUGCAUGGGAUUAGUUGCUCAUUCAAAUUCAAACAUCAUUUGAAUUUGAAUGGCCAACUAAUCAAUCUUUAUCCAUUCAAAUGGUGCACAAGGGAGGGGCAUGGGAAGGCUUCUGCAUGGGAG